rnacentral:rRNA from 5 species
GUAGUCAUAUGCUUGUCUCAAAGAUUAAGCCAUGCAUGUCUAAGUAUAAGCAACUUGUACUGUGAAACUGCGAAUGGCUCAUUAAAUCAGUUAUCGUUUAUUUGAUAGUACCUUACUACAUGGAUACCUGUGGUAAUUCUAGAGCUAAUACAUGCUAAAAACCCCGACUUCAGGAAGGGGUGUAUUUAUUAGAUAAAAAACCAACGCCCUUCGGGGCUCCUUGGUGAAUCAUAAUAACUUAACGAAUCGCAUGGCCUUGCGCCGGCGAUGGUUCAUUCAAAUUUCUGCCCUAUCAACUUUCGAUGGUAGGAUAGUGGCCUACCAUGGUGGCAACGGGUAACGGGGAAU